UAGGGAAUCUUCCACAAAUGGGCGAAGCCUGAUGGAGCAACGCUGCGUGUGUGAUGAAGGGUUUCGGCUCGUAAAACACUGUUGUAAGAGAAGAAUGACAUUGAGAGUAACUGUUCAAUGUGUGACGGUAUCUUACCAGAAAGGAACGGCUAAAUACGUGCCAC
rnacentral:rRNA from 1 species